UACGUAGGGUGCGAGCGUUAAUCGGAAUUACUGGGCGUAAAGCGUGCGCAGGCGGUUUCACAAGCUAGAUGUGAAAGCCCCGGGCUUAACCUGGGAACUGCAUUUAGGACUGUGGAGCUAGAGUGCGGCAGAGGGAGGUGGAAUUCCACGUGUAGCAGUGAAAUGCGUAGAUAUGUGGAGGAACACCGAUGGCGAAGGCAGCCUCCUGGGCCGACACUGACGCUCAUGCACGAAAGCGUGGGGAGCAAAC
rnacentral:rRNA from 1 species